rnacentral:sRNA from 1 species
UGUCGAUGAUCAGUUGGUCCUCCUCGGC